AUUGAACGCUGGCGGCAUGCCUAACACAUGCAAGUCGAACGGGGCAGCAACGCCUAGUGGCGGACGGGUGAGGAAUACGUAGGAAUCUGCCCUUAAGUGGGGGCUAACCAGGGGAAACCCUGACUAAUACCGCAUGAUCUCUUCGGAGCAAAGAGGGGGACCGCAAGGCCUCUCGCUUCUGGAUGAGCCUACGUCUGAUUAGCUAGUUGGUAGGGUAAAGGCCUACCAAGGCGACGAUCAGUAACUGGUCUGAGAGGAUGAUCAGUCACACCGGAACUGAGACACGGUCCGGACUCCUACGGGAGGCAGCAGUGGGGAAUAUUGGACAAUGGGCGCAAGCCUGAUCCAGCAAUGCCGCGUGUGGGAAGAAGGCCUUCGGGUUGUAAACCGCUUUUGUCAGGGAAGAAAUCUUCUGGGUUAAUACCUCGGGAGGAUGACGGUACCUGAAGAAUAAGCACCGGCUAACUACGUGCCAGCAGCCGCCGCAGUAA
rnacentral:rRNA from 1 species